GAUGUACUCCCUCCGUUCGAAAUUACUUGUCGCAUAAAUGGAUAUAUCUAGACUUAUUUUAGUUCUAGAUACAUUCAUUUUCAAGACAAGUAAUUCCGAACGGAGAGAGUAUAUG
rnacentral:pre_miRNA from 1 species